GACGUAGGGUGCAAGCGUUGUCCGGAAUUAUUGGGCGUAAAGAGCGUGUAGGCGGCCCGAUUAGUCCGCUGUGAAAGUCCAGGGCUCAACCCUGGAAUGCCGGUGGAUACUGUCGGGCUAGAGUCCGGAAGGGGCGAGUGGAAUUCCUGGUGUAGCGGUGAAAUGCGUAGAUAUCGGUAGGAACACCAGUGGCGAAGGCGGCUUCCUGGCCUGUUCUUGACGCUGAGGCGCGAAAGCUAGGGUAGCAAACGGG
rnacentral:rRNA from 1 species